rnacentral:rRNA from 1 species
GACGAACGCUGGUGGCGUGCUUAACACAUGCAAGUCGAACGGAAAGGCCCUGCUUGCAGGGUACUCGAGUGGCGAACGGGUGAGUAACACGUGGGUGAUCUGCCCUGCACUUCGGGAUAAGCCUGGGAAACUGGGUCUAAUACCGGAUAGGAGCCAUUUUUAGUGUGAUGGUUGGAAAGUUUUUUCGGUGUAGGAUGAGCUCGCGGCCUAUCAGCUUGUUGGUGGGGUAAUGGCCUACCAAGGCGGCGACGGGUAGCCGGCCUGAGAGGGUGGACGGCCACAUUGGGACUGAGAUACGGCCCAGACUCCUACGGGAGGCAGCAGUGGGGAAUAUUGCACAAUGGGCGCAAGCCUGAUGCAGCGACGCCGCGUGGGGGAUGACGGCCUUCGGGUUGUAAACUCCUUUCGCUGGGGACGAAGCUUUUUGUGACGGUACCUAGAUAAGAAGCACCGGCUAACUACGUG